rnacentral:rRNA from 1 species
CUUGGUCAUUUAGAGGAAGUAAAAGUCGUAACAAGGUUUCCGUAGGUGAACCUGCGGAAGGAUCAUUAAUGAAUUUAGGAGGUUUGCUGUGCCGUCUUCACGGAAUUGUGCACGCUUACCUCUAUAAUCCUUAUCAACACCUGUGCACCUUUCUAGGGAGAACGAUAGGUUUCACGACCUAUCAUGACCUCUAUAUACACACUCUUUAUGUCAAUGAAUGUUACUUGGCCGAAAGGCUAGAAUUAUAAACAACUUUUAACAACGGAUCUCUUGGCUCUCGCAUCGAUGAAGAACGCAGCGAAGUGCGAUAAGUAAUGUGAAUUGCAGAAUUCAGUGGAUCAUCGAAUCUUUGAACGCACCUUGCGCUCCCUGGUAUUCCGGGGAGCACGCCUGUUCGAGUGUUAUGAAACUAUCAAGAAAAAUUGGCUUUAUUGUUGAUUUUGAUUGGAUUUGAACUUUGACGUUGAUCUAGGUAGAGGGUUACUCCUCUGCUCUGUAAUACGACUAGUUUUAAAAGUAUAAGCAGGCUCUGGUUUUUUAAUUACCAUGGUUCUACUCAGCGUGAUAAUUAUCUAUCGUUGAGGACACUUUUAUUAGUGGCCAUGGUCCCAAGAGUUGCUCUCUAAUCUCUGUGAUCAGUUGCAAAACUGAUUUCAUUCAUAUCUGACCUCGAAUCAGGUGGGACUACCCGCUGAACUUAAGCAUAUCAAUAAGCGGAGGA